ensembl:lncRNA
UAAUGCCUUUAAGUCCAUCUGUGUUAUUGCAAACAGUAGGAUUUCCUCAGUUUUAUGGGUAAAUAAUAUUCAUACAUAUAUAUAUAUAUAUAUGAUGGAAUUGUUAGUUUCUUGACUAUAUUCAUGAGAUGUGAUUACAUAGCAGAAAAUAUAUACUAAUAAACUUAGAUGUACAGGGUAUCAUGUGUACGACUUACUUGAAAUAUUUCAGAAAAAAAUUUUAGAUACAGGUAUAUUGUCACCAACACUUAUAUCUUUAUCCAGGGCUUCCCUCGUGGCUCAGUGGUAAGGAAUUCACUUGCCAAUGCAGGAGGUGUCAGCUUGAUCCCUGGGUCGGAAAGAUCCCCUGGAGAAGGAAAUGGCAACUCACUCCAAUAUUCUUGCCUGGGAAAUCCCAUGGACAGAGGAGUCUGGCGGGCUACAGUCGGUGGGAUUGUAGAAGAGUCAGAUAUGACUCAGCAACUAAACAAGAACAACGUCUAUAUUCAUAGCCAUGUCCAUGGUGUGUUGGGGAGACAGACAGAAAAAAACAGACCAAGUCUGAGAAAGCCUGCAACCCUUCAACCUCAGGCAACUUUCUUAAAGAGAAGUCUUCAAGAUGACAACAUAUGGAUACUACAUCUCCACGCCUUACCCACAGCUGCAAGUCUCCAUAAACUUUGCUUGCACUAACUGCUGGGAAUGAUGACAGCUGGACCAGUCUGGACAAGUGGAAAUGAAUCUGUUGGUUUUUUUUUUUUUUAGGUAAGUAACAAAACCUGACCUUCACUGCCUCAGCUUUCAGACUUCAGAUGAAAUUCAGAGAUCCAGC